GUGACCUACGGGACGCAGCAGUGGGGAAUAUUGCGCAAUGGGGGAAACCCUGACGCAGCAACGCCGCGUGUGGGAUGAAGGCCUUCGGGUAGUAAACCGCUUUCAGCAGGGAAGAUCCAAGACGGUACCUGCAGAAGAAGCCCCGGCUAACUACGUGCCAGCAGCCGCGGUAAUACGUAGGGGGCAAGCGUUAUCCGGAUUCAUUGGGCGUAAAGCGCGCGCAGGCGGGUUGCUAAGCGG
rnacentral:rRNA from 1 species